rnacentral:rRNA from 1 species
GAUGAACGCUGGCGGCGUGCCUAAUACAUGCAAGUCGAGCGAACAGGCGAGGAGCUUGCUCCUCUGAUGUUAGCGGCGGACGGGUGAGUAACACGUGGAUAACCUACCUAUAAGUCUGGGAUAACUUCGGGAAACCGGAGCUAAUACCGGAUAACAUGUUGAACCGCAUGGUUCAACAGUGAAAGACGGUCUUGCUGUCACUUAUAGAUGGAUCCGCGCCGCAUUAGCUAGUUGGUAAGGUAACGGCUUACCAAGGCAACGAUGCGUAGCCGACCUGAGAGGGUGAUCGGCCACACUGGAACUGAGACACGGUCCAGACUCCUACGGGAGGCAGCAGUAGGGAAUCUUCCGCAAUGGGCGAAAGCCUGACGGAGCAACGCCGCGUGAGUGAAGAAGGUCUUCGGAUCGUAAAACUCUGUUAUUAGGGAAGAACAAAUGUGUAAGUAACUAUGCACGUCUUGACGGUACCUAAUCAGAAAGCCACGGCUAACUACGUG